rnacentral:rRNA from 1 species
UUUAUGGAGAGUUUGAUCCUGGCUCAGGAUGAACGCUGGCGGCGUGCCUAAUACAUGCAAGUCGAGCGAACGGACGAGAAGCUUGCUUCUCUGAUGUUAGCGGCGGACGGGUGAGUAACACGUGGAUAACCUACCUAUAAGACUGGGAUAACUUCGGGAAACCGGAGCUAAUACCGGAUAAUAUUUUGAACCGCAUGGUUCAAAAGUGAAAGACGGUCUUGCUGUCACUUAUAGAUGGAUCCGCGCUGCAUUAGCUAGUUGGUAAGGUAACGGCUUACCAAGGCAACGAUGCAUAGCCGACCUGAGAGGGUGAUCGGCCACACUGGAACUGAGACACGGUCCAGACUCCUACGGGAGGCAGCAGUAGGGAAUCUUCCGCAAUGGGCGAAAGCCUGACGGAGCAACGCCGCGUGAGUGAUGAAGGUCUUCGGAUCGUAAAACUCUGUUAUUAGGGAAGAACAUAUGUGUAAGUAACUGUGCACAUCUUGACGGUACCUAAUCAGAAAGCCACGGCUAACUACGUGCCAGCAGCCGCGGUAAUACGUAGGUGGCAAGCGUUAUCCGGAAUUAUUGGGCGUAAAGCGCGCGUAGGCGGUUUUUUAAGUCUGAUGUGAAAGCCCACGGCUCAACCGUGGAGGGUCAUUGGAAACUGGAAAACUUGAGUGCAGAAGAGGAAAGUGGAAUUCCAUGUGUAGCGGUGAAAUGCGCAGAGAUAUGGAGGAACACCAGUGGCGAAGGCGACUUUCUGGUCUGUAACUGACGCUGAUGUGCGAAAGCGUGGGGAUCAAACAGGAUUAGAUACCCUGGUAGUCCACGCCGUAAACGAUGAGUGCUAAGUGUUAGGGGGUUUCCGCCCCUUAGUGCUGCAGCUAACGCAUUAAGCACUCCGCCUGGGGAGUACG